rnacentral:rRNA from 1 species
AUUGAACGCUGGCGGCAGGCCUAACACAUGCAAGUCGAACGAGUGGCGGACGGGUGUGUAAUGUCUGGGAAACUGCCUGAUGGAGGGGGAUAACUACUGGAAACGGUAGCUACUCCCGCAUACCAUCGGAUGUGCCCAGAUGGGCUUGGCUAGUGGGUGGGGUAAAGGCUCACCUAGGCGACGAUCACUAGCUGGUCUGAGAGGAUGACCAGCCACACUGGAACUGAGACACGGUCCAGACUCCUACGGAAGGCAGCAGUGGGGAAUAUUGGACAAUGGGCGCAAGCUGGAUGCAGCCAGGCCGCGUGGAUGAAGAAGGCCUUCGGGUUGUAAAGUACUUUCAGCGGGGAGGCGUUACCCGCAGAAGAAGCACCGGCUAACUCCGUGCCAGCAGCCGCGGUAAUUC